GACGAACGCUGGCGGCGUGCUUAACACAUGCAAGUCGAACGGAAAGGCCCUGCUUUUGUGGGGUGCUCGAGUGGCGAACGGGUGAGUAACUCGUGAGUAACCUGCCCUUGACUUUGGGAUAACUUCAGGAAACUGGGGCUAAUACCGGAUAGGAGCUCCUGCUGCAUGGUGGGGGUUGGAAAGUUUCGGCGGUUGGGGAUGGACUCGCGGCUUAUCAGCUUGUUGGUGGGGUAGUGGCUUACCAAGGCUUUGACGGGUAGCCGGCCUGAGAGGGUGACCGGCCGCAUUGGGACUGAGAUACGGCCCAGACUCCUACGGGAGGCAGCAGUGGGGAAUAUUGCACAAUGGGCGGAAGCCUGAUGCAGCAACGCCGCGUGCGGGAUGACGGCCUUCGGGUUGUAAACCGCUUUCGCCUGUGACGAAGCGUGAGUGACGGUAAUGGGUAAAGAAGCACCGGCUAACUACGUG
rnacentral:rRNA from 1 species